GUGGGGAAUAUUGGACAAUGGGCGAAAGCCUGAUCCAGCCAUGCCGCGUGUGUGAAGAAGGUCUUCGGAUUGUAAAGCACUUUAAGUUGGGAGGAAGGGCAGUAAGUUAAUACCUUGCUGUUUUGACGUUACCGACAGAAUAAGCACCGGCUAACUUCGUGCCAGCAGCCGCGGUAAUACGAAGGGUGCAAGCGUUAAUCGGAAUUACUGGGCGUAAAGCGCGCGUAGGUGGUUUUGUAAGUUGGAGGUGAAAUCCCCGGGCUCAACCUGGGAACUGCCUCCAAAACUGCAUGACUAGAGUACGGUAGAGGGUAGUGGAAGUUCCUGUGUAGCGGUGAAAUGCGUAGAUAUAGGGAGGAACACCAGUGGCGAAGGCGACUACCUGGACUGAUACUGACACUGAGGUGCGAAAGCGUGGGGAGCAAACAGGAUUAGAUACCCUUGUAGUCC
rnacentral:rRNA from 1 species